AACGGGGCUGAAUGGAACUGUGAGCGGAGGAGAACGGAAGAAAGGAUCAGAUUUGACACAUCAAAGAGAAAGACCAGACUCGCAGGAACCAGAGCCAGAGACGUCCAAACCAUCAAGACGACACCUGUGCUCCCACUGUGGAAAGUGUUGUAACCAGUUACGGGACCUGAAACAACAUGAGAGAAUACAUACAGGAGAAAAGCCAUACCACUGCUCCCAGUGUGGAAAGAGUUUUAACCAGAAAGGAUACCUGAUACAACAUGCAAGAAUACACACAGGGGAGAAACUUUACCACUGCUCCAAGUGUGGGAGGGGUUGUAACCAGUUAAGAAACCUGAAAAUACAUGAAAGAAUACAUACAGGAGAAAAGCCGUAUCACUGCUCCGAGUGUGGAAAGAGUUUUACCCACUUAUGUGGCCUAAAAACACACAAGAGAAUACACACAGGGGAGAAGGCUUACCACUGCUCCCUGUGCGGAAAGGGUUUUAACCUGUUAGGGGACCUGAAACGACAUGAGAGAAUACACACAGGGGAGAAGCCUUACAACUGCGCCCAGUGUGGAACGAGUUUUACUCACUUAUGUAGCCUGAAAACACAUGAGAGAAUACACACAGGGGAGAAGCCUUACCACUGCUCCCAGUGUGGAAAGGGUUUUAACCAGGUGGGGGCCCUGAAACGACAUGAGAGAAUACACACAGGGGAAAAGCCUUACAACUGCUCCCAGUGUGGAAAGAGUUUUGCCCAGUUAUGGAACUUGAAAACACAUGAGAGAAUACACACACAGGGGAGACGCCUUACCACUGCUCCCAGUGUGGAAAUAGUUUUACCCAGUUAUUGCACCUGAAAGGCCACACGGGAGAAGCCUUAUUGCUGCUCCCAGUGCGGAAAGUGUUUUACAGCGUUAAAUGAUAUGUGAGAACACACAGGAGAAGCCUUUGAGUUUUAAUCAGUUAGGUAACAUGAGAACACAUGAGAUAAAACACACAGGAGAUAAGGAUGUAGGCUGCUGCUGAACAAUAGGACAGGUUCAGGCCCAAUACAUGGUGGGACAGUAGUCCCCAGAGACUCUUAAUGUGUAUUGACUUUCCAGUGUUUUCCCUACUGCAUGUAUUAUAGUGGAUUGUGUUUGUGGAUUUGUUUGCUGACUUCACAAAAUAAAUGGCCUAAGUCUACAUUUCCAUGUAAAUGGGCUAAGUAUA